CCUUUAUCACUAGGAGCUGGAACCAGUUGUGAACUGAAGGAUGCCAAGCAUCUGCUGAACAGCAAGAAAACAGUCAAACUGGUGAAAACUGCAGCUCGACAUGGCACGGGGGGAGGACCCCAGAAUCGGAAGGCAGGAGGCCUGGUGCCGGCUUUCACUCUGUUACUGACUCAGUUAUCCACUCACUCACACUUUCAACAACAUGUAUCAAGCACUUCUGUGUUCAGGCACUGGUCUAAGUCCUGCAGAUGUAUUGGUGACAAGACCCUAGCUCUUCUGGGACUUACCAUCCGGAAAAGAGUCAGACACACAGAGAGGAAAAUACAUAUGAGAGAAUAGGUUGAUGUCAUAGGGAAUGACUGGAUGGGCUACCUCAGUUUUGAGGUCAGGAAGGGCCUCUCUGAGUACUGACAUUUCAGCUGAAGUGUGAGUUACUAAUCUAAAAAGGAAACAGUCAUUCAAGGAUCCUGAGGAAGGGCAUUCCAGGAUGAACAGCUGGUGAAAAAGUCCUAAGGUGGAAAUAGAUAGCAGGUUUUCACGGGACAAAAAGACUAGUAUUGCUUGAGUGGAGAGAUGAGUGGUAAGUGAUUUGAAAUGACUUUGAAGAGGUAGGCAGAAGCCAUGUAACCUCUUGCUUUAAGGAAUUUGGACUUUAU
rnacentral:lncRNA from 1 species